rnacentral:rRNA from 1 species
UAGGGAAUCUUCCACAAUGGGCGCAAGCCUGAUGGAGCAACACCCGCGUGAGUGAAGAAGGGUUUCGGCUCGUAAAGCUCUGUUGUUAAAGAAGAACACGUAUGAGAGUAACUGUUCAUACGUUGACGGUAUUUAACCAGAAAGUCACGGCUAACUACGUGCUAG